AACGAACGCUGGCGGCAGGCCUAACACAUGCAAGUCGAGCGCGCCCUUCGGGGUGAGCGGCGGACGGGUGAGUAACGCGUGGGAACGUGCCCUUCUCUGCGGAAUAGCCUCGGGAAACUGAGAGUAAUACCGCAUACGCCCUUUGGGGGAAAGAUUUAUCGGAGAAGGAUCGGCCCGCGUUGGAUUAGGUAGUUGGUGGGGUAAUGGCCCACCAAGCCGACGAUCCAUAGCUGGUUGGAGAGGAUGAUCAGCCACACUGGGACUGAGACACGGCCCAGCCUCCUACGGGAGGCAGGAGUAGGGAAUCUUAGACAAUGGGGGCAACCCUGAUCUAGCCAUGCCGCGUGAGUGAUGAAGGCCUUAGGGUUGUAAAGCUCUUUCAGCUGGGAAGAUAAUGACGGUACCAGCAGAAGAAGCCCCGGCUAACUACGUG
rnacentral:rRNA from 1 species